GAGAAGACACACCAGCUGCACUUAGAAAGAGGCAGAAAGAAAAGGAAAAAGGAAAAAUAAGGAGCCACAGGAGAAACGCACACAUAGGUUGUCCAUAUCAAAACCGCUCUCCCCGGAAGAAUAAACACCCACGUGGGCCCAAAUCGGACAAAGCAUUAAAGGAAAUGCUCUCUAGUUAAAGGAAGAAAACGUUAAAGGGUGGCCUGUGCUUGAGUAGCUUAGGAGAGCGACUUCAUGUGGAAAAGCUAUUCCGGCCGGUAACGAAAGAAAGCGGGGGCCGAGGGAGGCAUCAAAGCGGGGGCGAGAACCUCGCCGGAUCAUCGCCGCAGAGAAUCAAGGAAGUGGAGGUGGAGUUGUAUGAGGGAAGGCAGUCCUUAAGAUGCCCUGAGUCAAAACCAGCACUUUGAAUUGGGCCCAGAAACACAGCGUUUUACAGCAUGGAAGCUACAGUAUUUUGAAGAGAGCAUAGCUGGUGAAGCAUGAGGCAAGCUGUACCAAAUUGAGCCUGGGGUCUUAGCCUAUCUGGACCGGUAAAAUCAUUAUAGCAGAAAGAAAACUAGCUUCGCUUGUCACUGGGAUUCCCAAUUUGUACCUCUGAAGUAGAAUAAUGGUCUGAAAUCCUGUAACAAGUAAACACUUGAAAAAUUAUAUAAGAUUUUUAAUGUAAUGCAGUCUGUUGUUUCUAAAUCGGGGAUAGGGAAUGUAUAUCAUGCCUCAUUAUUGGCCGGAGAGACGAGAUCAAAUGGGAACUGGGAGUUCAGUAACAACAGCAUUUGAAAGACCAUGUCUCCUCCACCAUACACAUAAUACUGUUUAAAACUCUUUAACUGCCCCAUUAAUAACAUUGAGAUGUAAGGAUUUCAAGGAUAGACUUAACAACUGAGAUUUUGAUACUGUGCUGUGGCAACUGUAUAUCUUCAUAAUUGAUAUAAGGUUCCAUGGCUACACUUUGAAAGUAUGUACUAUCCAGUGGAAAGGAGGGAGAUCCAAAUUUAUAUGAACUGAAUAACUUUCAAUGUAAAGUGUGUGCGUGGGGGACUUCUGCCCAUUGUACUGAUAAAACAUGAUCUGAGUCUUAGCCACGCUGGAGCCAAGGAACAUCCAAAAAGGGAAGAAAGAAAAAAGUCCAAUCUUCUGCAAGUCAUCUGCUGAUAAUCCUGUGCUUCAGAAAGAAAAGACCUCCAAAGUUACUCUCUCUUUGCCCUUAAGUGCCAUAUUGCUGAAAUAUGUUUGGCUUGUCCUUGGCACACAUUAGCAACUGGAUAA